rnacentral:rRNA from 1 species
UACGGAGGGGGCAAGCGUUGUUCGGAAUUACUGGGCGUAAAGGGCUCGUAGGCGGCCAACUAAGUCAGACGUGAAAUCCCUCGGCUUAACCGGGGAACUGCGUCUGAUACUGGAUGGCUUGAGAUUGGGAGAGGGAUGCGGAAUUCCAGGUGUAGCGGUGAAAUGCGUAGAGAUCCGGAAGAACACCGGUGGCGAAGGCGGUCUGCUGGGGUAAUGCUGACACUGAUGCGCGACAGCGUGGGGAGCAAACAGG